UACGGGGGGGGGCAAGCGUUGUUCGGAAUUACUGGGCGUAAAGGGCUCGUAGGCGGCCAACUAAGUCGGACGUGAAAUCCCUCAGCUUAACUGGGGAACUGCGUCCGAUACUGGAUGGCUUGGAUUUGGGAGAGGGUAGUGGAAUUCCCGGUGUAGUGGUGAAAUGCGUAGAUAUCGGGAGGAACACCAGUGGCGAAGGCGACUACCUGGCCUGUUUCUUGACGCUGAGGCGCGAAAAGCUAGGGGGAGCAAACGGGG
rnacentral:rRNA from 1 species